AGUGAACGCUGGCGGUAGGCCUAACACAUGCAAGUCGAACGGCAGCACAGUAAGAGCUUGCUCUUACGGGUGGCGAGUGGCGGACGGGUGAGGAAUACAUCGGAAUCUACUUUUUCGUGGGGGAUAACGUAGGGAAACUUACGCUAAUACCGCAUACGACCUACGGGUGAAAGCAGGGGAUCUUCGGACCUUGCGCGAUUGAAUGAGCCGAUGUCGGAUUAGCUAGUUGGCGGGGUAAAGGCCCACCAAGGCGACGAUGCGUAGCUGGUCUGAGAGGAUGAUAGGCCACACUGGAACGUAGAAACGGGCCAGACUCCUACGGGAGGAAGCAGCCGGCGAUAGUGAGCAAUGGGCGCAAGUCGGACGGAGCAACGCAGGGGGAGUGAAGAAGGUCUUCGGAUCGUCAACUGUUCUGACGAGGGAAGAACAAAGGUGUACGGACCUGUGCACAGCAGGACGGUCCCUAAUCAGAAAGACACGGCUAACUACGUG
rnacentral:rRNA from 1 species